UAGGGAAUCUUCGGCAAUGGACGGAAGUCUGACCGAGCAACGCCGCGUGAGUGAAGAAGGUUUUCGGAUCGUAAAGCUCUGUUGUAAGAGAAGAACGAGUGUGAGAGUGGAAAGUUCACACUGUGACGGUAUCUUACCAGAAAGGGACGGCUAACUACGUGCCAGCAGCCGCGGUAAUACGUAGGUCCCGAGCGUUGUCCGGAUUUAUUGGGCGUAAAGCGAGCGCAGGCGGUUAGAUAAGUCUGAAGUUAAAGGCUGUGGCUUAACCAUAGUACGCUUUGGAAACUGUUUAACUUGAGUGCAAGAGGGGAGAGUGGAAUUCCAUGUGUAGCGGCGAAAUGCGUAGAUAUAUGGAGGAACACCGGUGGCGAAAGCGGCUCUCUGGCUUGUAACUGACGCUGAGGCUCGAAAGCGUGGGGAGCAAACAGGAUUAGAUACCCUGGUAGUCCACGCCGUAAACGAUGAGUGCUAGGUGUUAGACCCUUUCCGGGGUUUAGUGCCGCAGCUAACGCAUUAAGCACUCCGCCUGGGGAGUACGACCGCGNAGGUUG
rnacentral:rRNA from 1 species